CCCUUAGAUGUCCGGGGCCGCACGCGCGCUACACUGAAGGAAUCAGCGUGGCUUUCUCCCUGACCCGAAAGGGUUGGGAAACCCGUUGAAUCUCCUUCGUGAUAGGGAUUGGGGCUUGAAAUUGUUCCCCAUGAACGAGGAAUUCCCAGUAAGCGCGAGUCAUAAGCUCGCGUUGAUUACGUCCCUGCCCUUUGUACACACCGCCCGUCGCUACUACCGAUUGAACGGUUUAGUGAGGGCCUCGGAUUGGUCUCGGCCCGCUCUUUACCGGGCGGCGCCGUUGGUCGAGAAGACGCUCGAACUUGAUCGUUUAGAGGAAGUAAAAGUCGUAUCA
rnacentral:rRNA from 1 species